rnacentral:rRNA from 1 species
AGCAGUAGGGAAUCUUCCGCAAUGGGCGAAAGCCUGACGGAGCAACGCCGCGUGAGUGAUGAAGGUUUUCGGAUCGUAAAGCUCUGUUGCCAGGGAAGAACGUCCUUAAGAGUAACUGCUUAAGGAGUGACGGUACCUGAGAAGAAAGCCCCGGCUAACUACG